GGCCGGAGGGCAGAGACUGAGGAUUAAGACAAUGUGUGCAACGCGCUGUCCUUAAUAAAACCAUAGCAGAGAGAGCAGCAGCAGAGAGGGAGAGAGGGAUUCCUUGUGUAAAUGAGAGUGUAUCCAAAAGUAAUUUAAUAUCUCGGUGAUGUACAUGCUGUAUUUGGCCGCCUGAGUGUGUGUUUGUCUUCACCACAGAGAUAACAGGUAAAACCUCAGAUGCGCCGCUUCCUUGAGUGACAUCAUGGGAAAAUCAAAGAACUCAGGCAAGAUGUCAAGAUGAGAAUUGUGGAGCUGGAUGAAGCUGGAMGUGAGCGGGACAGGUGGCUUCACGGCGAGGGAUGCGCUUUGAUGGACAGAGCAUGCGAUCCAGACACGGAU